UUAAAAAGUGCCUCAUUUAGAAGCUUCGCUCGACUAUUUUCUUGUUUGAUAUUUUGACAUCCUCGUUUAACAGAUGAUGUUAUUAUUAUAUUCGUGUUUUGUGAGGUUGUGAAGAGGUUUUCUUGGUUUCUAACUGUGGAAUGUGAAGAAUUCCUGGAGAAUAAAGGAGGUUUUGUUCAGUUCAGGCAGGCUUGGUCUGAAGACACCUGUUGACCUGAAGCCAUGAUGACAGGAUGUCCCCUAACCCCAGAGGUUAGCCGCUACAAUCAGAGACAUGUGGACGUUACCCACAAUCCUUAGAGGCUAACGGGACCAUCAGGGCUCUGUCAGGUCUAGAAAGAACCAUAGUACCACUAAUCAGGUUUAGAAGGAGUCAUAGUAGCACUAAUCAUGAGGUCUAGAAGGAGUCAUAGUGCCACUAAUCAGGUCUAGAAGGAGUCAUAGUUCCACUAAUCAGGAGGUCUGGAAGGAGUCAUAGUGCCACUAAUCAGGUCUAGAAGGAGUCAUAGUUCCACUAAUCAGGAGGUCUAGAAGGAGUCAUAGUUCCACUAAUCAGGAGGUCUAGAAGGAGUCAUAGUACCACUAAUCAGGAGGUCUAGAAGGAGUCAUAGUACCACUAAUCAGGAGGUCUAGAAGGAGUCAUAGUUCCACUAAUCAGGAGGUCUAGAAGGAGUCAUAGUACCACUAAUCAGGAGGUCUAGAAGGAGUCAUAGUGCCACUAAUCAGGAGGUCUAGAAGGAGUCAUAGUACCACUAAUCAGGUUUAGAAGGAGUCAAAUACCACUAAUCAGGAGGUGUAGAAGGAGUCAUAGUACCAUUACUCAGAAUGGUGAGAACCUGACCAGGACUACCACAGUGAAUGCAUAGUCCUGACAGCGAAGCAUGGAGGUGGAAGUGUAAUGAUAUUGAUACUGUAAGACAUAAAUAGAUGAACCAUGAAUGCCAGAGGACAUAUCAAAACCCAAAAUGACCACAAAGAGACACAA